CACGUAGGGUGCGAGCGUUGUCCGGAAUUAUUGGGCGUAAAGAGCUCGUAGGCGGUGUGUCGCGUCGGCCGUGAAAACCUGCAGCUUAACUGUGGGCUUGCGGUCGAUACGGGCAUCACUGGAGUUCGGCAGGGGAGACUGGAAUUCCUGGUGUAGCGGUGAAAUGCGCAGAUAUCAGGAGGAACACCAGUGGCGAAGGCGGUGCUCUGGGCCGGAACUGACGCUGAGGAGCGAAAGCGUGGGGAGCAAACAGG
rnacentral:rRNA from 1 species